rnacentral:rRNA from 1 species
GGGGGGUCGACCAUGGAAGCCAUUUUCUUGGUACGACAACUUAUGGAGAGAUAUAGGGAGCAAAAGAAGGACUUGCAUAUGGUGUUCAUUGACUUGGAGAAGGUCUAUGAUAAGAUACCGCGGAAUGUCAUGUGGUGGGCCUUGGAGAAACACAAAGUCCCAGCAAAGUACAUUAACCUCAUCAAGGACAUGUACGAUAAUGUUGUGACCAGUGUUCGAACAAGUGAUGUCGACACCGAUGACUUCCCGAUUAAGAUAGGACUACAUCAUGGGUCAGCUUUGAGCCCUUAUCUUUUUGCAUUGGUG